UACGAAGGGUGCAAGCGUUACUCGGAAUUACUGGGCGUAAAGCGUGCGUAGGUGGUGAGUUAAGUCUGUCGUGAAAGCCCCGGGCUCAACCUGGGAAUGGCGAUGGAUACUGGCUCGCUAGAGUGCGGUAGAGGAGAGUGGAAUUCCCGGUGUAGCAGUGAAAUGCGUAGAGAUCGGGAGGAACAUCAGUUGCGAAGGCGGCUCUCGUGACCAGCACUGACACUGAGGCACGAAAGCGUGGGGAGCAAACAGG
rnacentral:rRNA from 1 species